rnacentral:tRNA from 3 species
GUCUCCUUCGUCUAGUGGUUAGGACACCGGGUUUUCAUCCCGGCAACGCGGGUUCGAUCCCCGCAGGAGAUG